AGUGAACGCUGGCGGUAGGCCUAACACAUGCAAGUCGAACGGCAGCACAGUAAGAGCUUGCUCUUACGGGUGGCGAGUGGCGGACGGGUGAGGAAUACAUCGGAAUCUACUUUUUCGUGGAGGAUAACGUAGGGAAACUUACGCUAAUACCGCAUACGACCUACGGGUGAAGGCAGGGGAUCUUCGGACCUUGCGCGAUUGAAUGAGCCGAUGUCGGAUUAGCUAGUUGGCGGGGUAAAGGCCCACCAAGGCGACGAUCCGUAGCUGGUCUGAGAGGAUGAUCAGCCACACUGGAACUGGGACACGGUCCAGACUCCUACGGGAGGCAGCAGUGGGGAAUAUUGGACAAUGGGCGCAAGCCUGAUCCAGCCAUACCGCGUGGGUGAAGAAGGCCUUCGGGUUGUAAAGCCCUUUUGUUGGGAAAGAAAAGCAGCAGGUUAAUACCCCGCUGUUCUGACGGUACCCAAAGAAUAAGCACCGGCUAACUUCGUG
rnacentral:rRNA from 1 species